AUUACCACAGUGUCCUACUUUGGACUUUGAGGGAAUCUGCAGCCUGUGAAAAUUGAAGACACAAUCGAAUUGCUAAUUAAAAAAUGGAACCAGUUCAAUUCUGUAAUCCUCUAAGAGUGGGUUUUAAACUCUGAAGUAGUAUUAAUCUAAUUUUCUAGACUGCUUAUCAAGAAAACUCCAUUUCUCUGCAGACAGCCUCCUCCAAGACCUUUGGAUUGAUGAGCAGCUGCCUGAGUGUUGAGCAAUGAGAAUACCAGUGCUGUAUUCUAUAACUACGGCUACUGGGAGAUAUGAAGAACCGUAGGAAGUACCUAGAAAACAGAAGAGAAGGCAGCAGGGUCCCCAUGAUAAUCAUUUUCUUCAUGGCAAUAGACCUCCUUUGACUUGGAUCUGGAGUGGCAUUGGUGUUUCAUGGAAGGAGCAGAGAAGUUCUUGCCUUUCGUGUGUCCUUGUUCAUUGUUUAUGAAAUGGCUCAUGAUGGAGCUGUGCUCCACUCCUAGCUCUCAGCAAAUGGUGAAGAAAGUGAAGUUUGAUUUCCAUAUGGAGAGUGUCCAAUAUGUUCCAUUUUAACCCAUGCCUCAACAUCUCCUGCUCUAUGGUUAAUGCUCUUAUGUUCUUAUUUACUAUGUUAAUAUUAUUAUUAUAUAUUAGUAUAUUUUGUCUAAUAAUUAUUGAAAGUAUUAAGAGUAAGUAAAUUUUUAAAAGUUCUUAAAAGUAACAUUUUGAUAUGAAUAAUGUAAAUAUAAGCCAAUGUGUGUUUUUUAUAAUUAAAAGAAUACUAUUUAUUAUGUAUUUAAAUU